GACGUAGGGCGCGAGCGUUGUCCGGAUUUAUUGGGCGUAAAGAGCUCGUAGGCGGCUUGUCGCGUCGAAUGUGAAAUCUCAGGGCUCAACUCUGACAUUGCAUUCGAUACGGGCAGGCUAGAGUUCGGUAGGGGAGACUGGAAUUCCUGGUGUAGCGGUGAAAUGCGCAGAUAUCAGGAGGAACACCGGUGGCGAAGGCGGGUCUCUGGGACGUUACUGACGCUGAGACGCGAAAGCGUGGGGAGCAAACAGG
rnacentral:rRNA from 1 species